UACACACACUGCAUCCAAUACACAAACACACACUGCAUCCACAACACACACAGAGCCUGUAUCCAAUCUACACACACUGCAUCCUUGUGGUCAUUUGAAAAUUGCCCCCUACCAUGUGUCUCAUCCCCCCAGUGUCUCAUUCAAUUUCCCUGGUGCCUCAUUCUGCCCACUGGGUCUCAUUCCCGCACCCAGGCCCCCUCCUUGACUCAUU